rnacentral:lncRNA from 1 species
GAAGGUUGACUGCACCAGGAGGGUAAGGGCAGAGAAUGGGGUACCCAAGUGGGAGUCCUUAACUCAGGCUUAGAAGAAAGCUUUCAUUUUCCAGAAUGCACUCACACAUGUAAGAGAAUCCCUCAAAGUUCAGAGAUGAGAAAGCAACCCUAUACUUGUUCUUGAUGAGGCCCACUAGCAUCUUCUUUCAGGCGGGGGUGCCUGUGGCCUGUGGAAGUUCAUCUCUGCAUCCGUGGGAAGCUGGCUGGAGCCUGUCCCCUGGCUGCAUGUGGCUACUGUCCCAUGAUGGAUGCUGGUGAAGGAGGCCAUAGUACAGGGCUCCACCUUCCAGACAGUCCAGCUGGUUGUGUACAUCCAUCAACGCAAAUGUUAUAGCUGUGGUCUUACAACUGCUGUUUUACAAAUAAGAAAACUGAGGCUCAGAGAGGUCAUUACUCAAGAUCACUCAGCUGUCAGAUGCUCAAGUCAGAUGCAAAACCCGAGCCUUUUAGAGGCUCAGCUUGGCCUAUUUUACUAUCCCAGGAUGAUCUUGGUGAAGCACUCAGGACAAUGAUGAUCUCAGCUUAGGCCAAACAGGCAGAUCCUCCAGGAGUAUCUGUUGCUCUGCUCUUCUCCCCAGAGCUCUCUCCUCCGGCUCCCAGGCUUGGGGAGCAGGGAGCUUUUCUAGUCUGACUGGGGCACCAUGCCCAAGCCCUCUGUCCCUCACACAACCAUCCUGGUUCCUCAAAGGCAGCGCAGGAAAAUCAA